rnacentral:rRNA from 1 species
UACGUAGGGUGCAAGCGUUGUCCGGAAUUAUUGGGCGUAAGGAGCUCGUAGGCGGUCUGUCGCGUCUGCUGUGAAAACUCAGGGCUUAACUCUGAGCUUGCAGUGGGUACGGGCAGACUAGAGUGCGGUAGGGGAGACUGGAAUUCCUGGUGUAGCGGUGAAAUGCGCAGAUAUCAGGAGGAACACCGGUGGCGAAGGCGGGUCUCUGGGCCGUAACUGACGCUGAGGAGCGAAAGCAUGGGGAGCGAACAGG